rnacentral:lncRNA from 1 species
UGGAUUGAUUGUCCUCUUAAUCCAAGAAUAUGGUGAUAUUGGUAUGGCAUACAAGUGAGAUAUAGAAGUACAUUGUUACAGAAUAAAUGACUCACCUACCGAGCAUUCUGCUGUCAAGAAUUGCAUGUGAAGUAUAUGGGUAUAAGUGUUCUUCAAAUCUAAGAUCAUUAUAGUGACUUGCAAGCAACUCACUGUGCUUUGGUGUCGAACUAUUUGGAUUUCUAAUACAGU